AGCCUUGUACACAGCCUGCCCAAGAUCGCAUCUAAGUUACUGGCAACCCGAUUAAGGCCGAGAAUGGGGGAGCUUGUGCAUGUCAAUCAGUCAACGUUCAUUAAAGGAAGGAACAUUCAUGACAAUUUCCUGUUGGUCCGGCAAAUGGCCCGAAAAUUGCACAAGAGGAAGGCCAAAGGUGUGCUCUUGAAGCUUGAUAUCUCAAGGGCAUUUGAUUCGCUCUCUUGGCCUUUUCUCUUUGAGAUUCUAAGGGCUAAGGGCUUCUCUGAGCGCUGGAUUUCAUGGAUUGGUACCCUUCUUACCUCAGCAAGCUCUAGGAUUGUGGUUAAUGGAUCGGCCGGACCGAAGUUCAUGCAUGCAAAGGGCCUG
rnacentral:rRNA from 1 species